rnacentral:rRNA from 1 species
CGGACAGAGCUGGCGUAUCUGGCCUGCAUUCAGCCGCUGCGCGUCGGGCCCCGGUUUGCCGCACUCCAGAUUGGGAAGGUGGCUGGGCUGCUGGCGUGCUUGUGGUGCAUUUGCAGGUGGAGUGCGCUGAGGCGCUCGGCUCAGCGGCAUGAGCUCGGCCUUGAGGCCAACCGUGCAAGCGGUCUGGUACCCGGGUCGGGGGAGUGUUGUUUGGGCUGAGUGUUCGCUUGGGCACUGGUUUCGGGCCCGGGUGGGUGCCGAGCUGGCGGUCGACGUCGGUCGCAUGCGACACGUGUCAGCAAUCAGUUCGGUCCUGCUCGAGCUCUCGCGUGUCCGGCCUCGGUGUAAAAGCCGGUCAUCUGUCCGACCCGUCUUGAAACACGGACCAAGGAGUUUAGCGUGUGCGCGAGUCAUUGGGCGUUGAAAACCCAAAGGCGCAAUGAAAGUGAAGGUCUGCCUUGUGCAGCUGAUGUGUGAUCCUGGGUGCUGCGGUGCCCGGGCGCAACAUAGUCCCGUCCCGACUGCAUGCAGUGGGGCGGAGACAGAGCGUACGCGCUGAG